UACGGAGGGUGCGAGCGUUGUCCGGAAUCACUGGGCGUAAAGGGCGCGUAGGCGGCCUGAUAAGUAGGGGGUGAAAUCCUGCGGCUUAACCGCAGGGCUGCCUUCUAAACUGUCGGGCUCGAGCACAGUAGAGGCAGGUGGAAUUCCCGGUGUAGCGGUGGAAUGCGUGGAGAUCGGGAAGAACAUCAGUGGCGAAGGCGGCCUGCUGGGCUGUUGCUGACGCUGAGGCGCGACAGCGUGGGGAGCAAACAGG
rnacentral:rRNA from 1 species